AUGGUACAGAACGAAUGUCACAUCUUUACUAUAUAAUGGAGUUCUAUACAAAAAUAGUUAAAUAAUUACAUCAUAAAAAAAUAACGAUCCAGCAACCAUAGUUGACUGGGAGACGACGGCCCAGACCUCUCACGAACUCAUUGCGACAUCCUUCAUGUUCCUCAUCUUGUAUUACCUAUCCUUGACCUGGGGGAAUGUGAGUACAACAAGGGUGAGCUCACAUACGUUCAUCGCUCACCAAGUUGUGGGGAAUAAUAUGCAUGAGCUCACUCUAAGUAGGGGCUCAUGUGAAAUGUAAGGCUUACCAAAGAAGAUGGUUAAAGCUGAGCAUUGCUUUUGAAGUUAGUCAAAAUUUUAUUAGCAGUUACUAAAUGUAAGUAGAUACCAACCCCAAAAAAAUAAGAGAUCACAAUUAACAAUAACACCCACAAUGCAAUGCAAAUAACAAAUUGAGGUUAGUUCCAUAAAAUUAAUCAUGCAAGAGUACUGAGUUGCUCUUAACCAUGAGCACGACUGAUAUACCAGUUUUAGACUCUAUAGAGGUUGUGCCCUUUAUCCACAAGUCGUGUUACCCAUUUGCCAAGGGAUCGCGACUUCCCAUUCAUCUCUACCGAGGAGACAAGGCAGGGUAGCACUACGAGGCCUUUACAAAGUUCCACUAGUUUCAGAAAACCCGCUACGGUUUCUGAGAAGGGCAAUAUACGAGUCCCUCGUCCGAAAAUCCAUCGCAGCAUGAUCGACCUGAGAACCUCCCUAUACCGCAGCUCCUCUACCGCCCUUGCCACUUUCGGGUAAGGUAGUCCUCCACUAGCUUUCCUAAUUAGUCAGCCAACGGCGUCCCAUUCCACGGUAGCACGGUUAUCUCAAGUUAAGCUGCAUGUUCCAAUUAACACAAUGAUCUUGUCAUGAACAAUAAUUAAAACAACAACAUAAUUGGAACAUGAUCAUAAUUCAAAUGUAACAUUAAUCCAAAAACUAGGUAGAGCAAUAACAAGUCCACCCAAUAGUUCAUUUGUCUGCAAGGGGUGGGCUAAACAGAACUAGGGAAAACAAAUUAGGUCCUUUCAAAAUAACCUGAGCAUGCCACAGUGAUUAAUAGAGAUCAUUAUUAGGUAAAGAAGAGCGAUCAAGGGCACAACUUGCCUUAGACUUGAGGUCCCCGGUACUUCACCAAGUUGGUAUUUGGUUGACUCAUAAUGUCGCUGCUACUCGUAGCAAUACAUACAAAUAGACAAGAAGUAUAUAAAAAUAAUAGUACACCAAACAUGAGAACAAACAACGCAAGAGUAUUCUACGCGCUUCUACGAGAUAAAGUUGGAGUUACGGUUAAAAAGAUAUGAUUUUCUAAAAUUGUAGAUGAUUAAAUAAUAAAACUAUGUUUAUGUUGAUUAAUAUAAAUCAGAUGAGAAAAAUACUUCAAAUAUACAUUUAAUUCAUCUCCUCAUCUAAGUUAUAUCUUAACUAUGAGUCGGUUUAUAAUUAUUACCUUAGAGAGAUUAAUUGGCUAAACAUAGGCUAAGAGUUAUCUAAUUAUAGGAGUGUGUGACAUAAUACAUCUAAUGUUAUUACUGUAUGGACAACAUUAAUAUGAGACUAACGCGACCAGAACGAAGAAAAUCGUGGCAAAAACGAGUAAGUUAUGAAUUUCCUGAGGUUCCUAGAUUUAUUUUUAUACUAGAAUUUCUAUUUCAAAAUUGAUUCUGUGAUAUACAUUAAGCACUAGGGAUGUUAGUUCAAUAAUCCUAAAGUCUAGGGUUCACUUUGAAAAGAAAAGGACUGAACCGACACAAUUUUAUAACUGAGGUGGACUAAGGGUUUAUAUUAAGGAAGUCGGAGGUCUCUUAUGCAUAACUCCCUAGCCAAAGGGGUAUCGGCCAACCGGAUCCAUCAGAUCCACUUUCAACAGUUCAGAUUAAAAGUCCCUUAACGUUAUGAACCGGUAUUCACCAUGGACCACCGGAUCUGAGAUCCACGGCUCGCAAUACGACCGCGCGCUGAUCACACCCGAGCCCUUGGAUCAUCGAUCAACGCACACGAUUUAAUCCAUCGAAGGCUUACACUUGAUCUAAUCAUGACUGUUGGCCCAAGAUCCAACGGCCCGGAACCCAUCGACCACCUCCCGACGGCCAGGCGUGGCGACCGGAGAUCCACCGUGACGGCGCCAUUGCUGGCGACCACAGAUCACGUGCCAGAGCGUCAAGGCUUUAAUUCGACAAGUGCUAUACAAAGCGGGUAGAAAAUCGUAGGUAGUAGGCGGUUCAAUACCUGAAUUCGAGUAGUAGAGCUCCCUAUCCGCGGGAUAGGGCGGUUCGACGAAAUAAAGAUUGCUCCGAUGAGCAAUUAGCGGGUCACUGUUGGGUUUCCCCGCCUGAGAUGGCCACGGAUGAGUUCCAUGUGCACCUGCGACGCCCCCAGACCACACCACGUGACCGAACGUCGGUGAAUCGUGAGGACCACAAUAGCGGCUUCGAGUUACCUCUCGCUUUCUCUGCGCUCACACUUCGGCAAUGGUGGCUCACGACUGCAUAGGUUGGGAUGGCCAAGGGGUUCACAGAUGGUCGUAUAAAUACACUGGUGAGAGACAAAAUCCCAACAAUC
rnacentral:lncRNA from 1 species